AUAAACGUUCCACCGGGAACUUGUCGUUUAGGCAAUCAUUAACUUAUCAUUAGGUCAUUGAAGAUAAGUUAAUGAUUGCCUUUUUAUU
rnacentral:ncRNA from 1 species